AACGAACGCUGGCGGCAUGCCUAACACAUGCAAGUCGAACGAGACCUUCGGGUCUCGUGGCGCACGGGUGCGUAACGCGUGGGAACCUGCCCUUAGGUUCGGAAUAACCCCCCGAAAGGGGUGCAAAUACCGGAUAAUGUCUUCGGACCAAAGAUGUAUUGCCUUUGGAUGGGCCCGAGUUGGAUUAGCUAGUGGGUAGGGUAAAAGCCUACCAAGGCAACGAGCCACAGCUGGGCUGAGAGGAUGAUCAGACACACUGGGACUGAGACACGGCCCAGACUCCUACGGGAGGCAGGAGUGGGGAAUAUUGGAAAAUGGGCGAAAGGCUGAACCAGCAAUGCCGCGUGAGUGAUGAAGGCCUUAGGGUUGUAAAGCUCUUUUACCCGGGAUGAUAAUGACAGUACCGGGAGAAUAAGCUCCGGCUAACUCCGUG
rnacentral:rRNA from 1 species